rnacentral:rRNA from 1 species
AAGGUCUCGCCUGCCCAGUGAAUCUAUUCAACGGCCGCGGUAUCCUAACCGUGCAAAGGUAGCGUAAUCACUUGUCCUCUAAAUAGGGACUUGUAUGAACGGCUAAAUGAGGGCCUACCUGUUUCCUAUGGCCCUUCAAUGAACCUGAUCUUCCAGUACAAAAGCUGAAAUUAGCCCAUAAGACGAGAAGACCCUGUGGAGCUUCAAACAGCCUGCUAAUCCUCAUAGCAGGUACUUUUAGUUGGGGCGACUACGGAACAAAACAAAACUUCCACGCCCCGGACCACCCAUCCUAUAAAGGCACCCACGCCAAUAUAACCCCCUCGCUCGACCCAGUCCAGACUGAUUAACGAACCAAGUUACCCCAGGGAUAACAGCGCCAUCCUCUUUAAGAGCCCCUAUCGCCAAGAGGGUUUACGACCUCGAUGUUGGAUCAGGGCCCCCAAGUGGUGCAGCCACUACUAACGGUUCGUUUGUUCAACGACUAACGCCCUACGUGAUCUGAGUUCAGACCGGA